UACGUAGGGGGCAAGCGUUGUCCGGAUUUAUUGGGCGUAAAGAGCGUGUAGGCGGCCAUGCAGGUCCGUUGUGAAAACUCGAGGCUCAACCUCGAGACGCCGAUGGAAACCGCAUGGCUAGAGUCCGGAAGAGGAGAGUGGAAUUCCUGGUGUAGCGGUGAAAUGCGCAGAUAUCAGGAAGAACACCCGUGGCUAAGGCGGCUCUCUAGUACGGUACUGACGCUGAGACGCGAAAGCGUGGGGAGCAAACAGG
rnacentral:rRNA from 1 species